rnacentral:rRNA from 1 species
UACGUAGGGUGCGAGCGUUAAUCGGAAUUACUGGGCGUAAAGUGUGCGCAGGCGGCCGAGCAAGUCGAGUGUGAAAUCCCCGGGCUUAACUUGGGAAUUGCGCUCGAAACUACUUGGCUUGAGUGUGGCAGAGGAAGGUGGAAUUCCACGUGUAGCGGUGAAAUGCGUAGAGAUGUGGAGGAACACCAAUGGCGAAGGCAGCUCGCUGGACCUCUUCUGACGCUGAGGCGCGAAAGCCAGGGGAGCAAACGGG